rnacentral:rRNA from 1 species
GAUGAACGCUGGCGGCGUGCCUAAUACAUGCAGGUCGAGCGAACAGACGAUGAGCUUGCUCCUCUGACGUUAGCGGCGGACGGGUGAGUAACACGUGGAUAACCUACCUAUAAGACUGGGAUAACUUCGGGAAACCGGAGCUAAUACCGGAUAAUAUAUUGAACCUCAUGGUUCAAUAGUGAAAGACGGUUUUGCUGUCACUUAUAGAUGGAUCCGCGCCGAAUUAGCUAGUUGGUAAGGUAACGGCUUACCAAGGCAACGAUGCGUAGCCGACCUGAGAGGGGGAUCGGCCACACUGGAACUGAGACACGGUCAGGACUCCUACGGGAGGCAGCAGUAGGGAAUCUUCCGCAAUGGGCGAAAGCCUGACGGAGCAACGCCGCGUGAGUGAUGAAGGUCUUCGGAUCGUAAAACUCUGUUAUUAGGGAAGAACAAAUGUGUAAGUAACUAUGCACGUCUUGACGGUACCUAAUCAGAAAGCCACGGCUAACUACGUG